AGCAGCCCUCGGCAGCCCGGGGGGCGGGCGGCAGUGCUCGUCCCGGGGCCGCGCGAGGCACAGGCG
ensembl:miRNA